AUUGAACGCUGGCGGCAGGCCUAACACAUGCAAGUCGAGCGGAUGAAGGGAGCUUGCUCCUGGAUUCAGCGUCGGACGGGUGAGUAAUGCCUAGGAAUCUGCCUGGUAGUGGGGGAUAACGUCCGGAAACGGGCGCUAAUACCGCAUACGUCCUGAGGGAGAAAGUGGGGGAUCUUCGGACCUCACGCUAUCAGAUGAGCCUAGGUCGGAUUAGCUAGUUGGUGGGGUAAAGGCCUACCAAGGCGACGAUCCGUAACUGGUCUGAGAGGAUGAUCAGUCACACUGGAACUGAGACACGGUCCAGACUCCUACGGGAUGCAGCAGUGGGGAAUAUUAGACAGUGGGCGGAAGCCUGAUCCAGCCAUCCAGCGUGUGUGACGAAGGUCUUCCGAUUGUAAAGAACUUUAAGUUGGGAGGAAGGGCAGUAAGUUGAUACCUUGCUGUUUUGACGUUACCAACAGAAUAAGCACCGGCUAACUACGUG
rnacentral:rRNA from 1 species